UAAGGCAGGUAACACUGCAGCGGCUUUAAUGACGGGUAUUGCUCCCAAAACUAAGGUCAUAAGGGAUGGGAAAUGGGAUGAACAAGGCGCGGCUAUUUUAGUACCCGACGAUGUGAUUAGUGUCAAAUUGGGAGAUAUUAUUCCAGCCGAUGCGCGCCUUCUUGAAGCAGAUCCACUUAAGAUUGAUCAAUUAAAUAUUUAAAUAACAAUUAUUAAACGAUUUCAUCGAGACACUCGACGUCGGUGAAACAACCACUGCCAAUUCGAAAGGUCGCAGCUUUAUCUAAUUCAUUAACGAAAACCCGGGCGAUGAUUUUCGUCUGCGACUAGGGCUCCAAAAUGCCCUUAACCAGGUCGGGUUAGGGUUCGAGAUCAAAAGUCUAGGCUUGAAUCGGAACGAAAGCAACUGAGGAUAGCAACCUCAAAUCUCAACAGUACAACAAAAUACAAAAGAUGGGGCUACAAAUCCAGUCAUGGCGAAUUCUUGGGUCACAUAACAGGUCAAAAUUAUCUCAGAAAGUGGUUGCCAACCAGGGUCUAAGCUGCUCUUAAACGAGUCAAAAUUGUCUAACAAAGGGGCUGCCUAUCAGGAACAGAAGUAAAAGGCUACUAAUCAUAGAGCAAAACCGAUGAUGGAGAAGUUUCGGUUUGGUCUUUUGCGCACUUUAUUUCCUCCAGGAAUAAAACAAAAAGUAUGUUAUAUAUGUUGAUGAACUGCUUUUCGGGAAAGGGUCAUCAAGGAUUUAAUGUUGAAGACCGAGUGAUCAAGAAAGGUGAAGUUAAGAUCAAACAACGCCUUUGAACUUAGGGAGUGAUAUGUAAGAGAGGAUUUGAUAUAAUCUUAGAGAUGCAUUAGUCGGAAUUUUUUUUGCGAAUGGUGAUAUUUAAUUAAAGAACAACUAGCAAAGAUACAAACCAGUUACAGAAUAUAGUCAUCCAAAACGUGUUUUAUUAGUUGUAACUUAUGCUUUGUUGAUAUUCUUAUAUUUUGUUUCUUUUCUCACA